rnacentral:misc_RNA from 1 species
GAAACUUUCAAAAUGGCGGACGGAGCAGUUUAAAAAAUUUUGUAUUAAACUUCAUAUUUCUCCUGAUUGAAGGGGUACCAUUUGCUUUUAUUGGAUUAUUUUGAUUCUGUAAAGGCGUCAGACAAUGGCAUCUCCAGAGGUGAUCUCCAUCACAAACACAAUAGCGAAGACAAAGCUACAAAGCUUGAGGGCCAACUCCAGGUUUACUGAUAUUACAUUUGUAUGUGCUGGCAAUGAAUGGGUACAUGCUCACAGGGCAGUUGUAUGUGAGUAUAGCAGCUAUGUACUAAUGUUGUCAGAGUCUGGAGGGAAAAAUGUUGUGAUCGAUUUAUCAAAGCUAGGCUUGGAUGUCAGAAAGGAGCUAAUGUCGCUGACUGUUGAUUUCAUGUAUGGAAUGGAUUUGACGAUAGCUCUAAGUGACCUAUCUACUUUAAUGGUGCUUGCAAAUAGACUAAACAUGCUGGAGUUCAUAUCUGCUAUAGAUUGUGCAAUUUCAAGCCCAACACCAUCUGAACCUCAUGAGCAAACACAAUGGCAAACGAAUGAAACUGUCACAACUGCUGACCAGACAAACAUUAAGAUUGAGGCUAAAGAUGUUGACUUUAAUGAACAAUACGAAUAUGGUAUGGAAACAACAGAUACCACUGAUGUAAACAUGGACAAUUAUCAACAUCUUAAUUCACUGCUUUCAACUCCUAAGGAGGCAUUAGACCUUCCAGCAAAGGUUGAGACAAUUGAAAGGUUGAAACAGUCUGUAACACCACCUGUUACCAAUAAACGCAAACGUGUUCAGCCGCGACAGAUUGUUGAGGCACCUUUGCAGGAAUCUCGUAGUGGAAGAAAGAUUAAACCUGUACCUAGGAUGGACCAAGAUGAUGUUGAUGAUGAUGAUGAUGAUGAAGGCGCUAUUGCUAUGGGAAGUGAUGCAGAUGAGACUGACGAAUAUGACCCUCUAGAUGAUGUGAAUGCUGAUGAGUCCUAUGAACCAGAUAAGAAACCAGAUAUCAAGAAACUCAAGAUAAAUCUUAAAGAUAUCAAGCCCAAGAAACCAAGAAAAACCAGAAUAAAGAAACCAAAAUUAGAGGCCCCUCCUUUAACGGCUGAACAGAAGAAGUUAAAGAAAUACGUUUGUUCAGAAUGUGAUCCGGAAGUCAGAUUUUCUACGUGUGCAAAGCGUCGUAGGCACUACAGUCAAGUACAUGGAUUGUUUGGGUGCAGAAAAUGUUCCGACAAGUUUCAAUCACAGGAGGCGUUGGACCAGCAUAUCUUGACACAUGGAGAGUGUUACAUUUGCUGGCGGAGAAUUGAAGACCAUGACAUGGAAAAGCAUUUGAUAGAGCAUAGAAAAAUAGAACACAAAUGUUCUUUAUGUGUAAAAACAAUGGAGACAACAAAGGAACUCCAUAAACACUAUAAAGAAGUUCAUAAUGCGAAUGAUAUCUACAAAUGUCCAAAGUGUUCUAAUCAGUUCAUAGAAGAAAAAGCUUAUUUUGACCACAAAGAAAGAACCUGCAAAGUAUACCAAAGAAACAAAAGUCACCUUUGUAAUGAGAUUGAAUGUGACAUAUGUAAGAAAAAGUGCACAUGUUGCAGUAUUGAAAAGCAUUUGAAACUACACCAUUCUUUAUCAACACAACGUGUCGAACAUGAUGAGGACAAAUACUAUCCUAAGAAAAUACAUUGUGAUGAAAAUGGAGAUCAAACAGAAAAGUUUCAGUGCCCGCACUGCUCAAAGGUUUAUGACAGUAAGCUACCCGCUGAAAGACAUGUUCGUAAACAUAUUCACAUUUUCUAUUGCAAUCCUUGUCAGAUGUCAUUUGGAUCAUUUAAGGAGUGGAAUCACCACAAGACUCAAAAUCACAUGGAGCCAAUACAUAUUUGUGAACACUGUGGUGUUCAAUAUAAAAACAAGCGCUCCUUAAACAGACACAUGGAGACACACAGAUUCGGGGACUUUAUAUGUGAAAUAUGUAAUCGUACUUUUUCCAGUAGUCAAUGUCUGCGUGUGCACAAAGAUAGCGUACAUCAGUUAUCGAAGCGGGUCCUAAGUUGUGAUCAAUGCCAAAAGGUGUUCUACCAAAAUAACAAGUUUAAGAGUCAUAUUUUGAGCCAUUCUAAACCAUUUAUAUGUAGUUAUUGUGGACAGAGAUUUGGCUACAAGAAAUACCUCGACCAGCAUGUUAGGAUUCAUACUGGCGAAAAACCAUAUAAAUGUACUGAAGCAAUGUGUGAUGCUUCAUUUCAUCAGAAAAAUAGUCUUGAUGUCCAUUUUAAAACACACCAUACCCAUCAAAUGAAAUAUAAGAAAACGUUACAUUCUUUAGAACCGCCAAGAGAUCAAAGCAUAGUUGUUAAUACAAAUAUGCCAAAUGUUGGGGCAACUGCAAUACAAUACAUGCAGGAUCCUAAUUUAAGAUUGACAAUGUUGUAAAUAAUGUUCAAAGCACUGUAAGAUUUCUAUUUUAUAUUGCUAUUAACUUCUAUUAAUUCAGUUAACAUGCGUGUGAUUUCCUUAAAAGCAGCAUAAUUGUGAUUUUUACUGAUGAAGAGAAUGGCUAAAUCAGAUUAAUGGUUUGUUCAGUACAUAAUCCAUAGUAUACUAUGGUUAUUAUUGUUUACUCCUUGAUUUCACUCAUUGAUAUACCCCAUCCUUAGUCCAUUAUAUAACUAAUUACCCAAUGUGUACAUCUCAAUUUUCUUUAGUAAUGUUAAGUUCCUCUUUUGCUUACCAUACUCAUGGUUUAUUUCGCGUUCUUUAAUAUCACGGAUUUUGAGAAAUUAAAAUUUCGUUACCAUAAACAUUUAUGGAUUUCACAAGUUUAAAUUUCAUUUUCUGAAUCCUCAAGCUUUGUAACUAAGUUACAUUAGAUACAGUUAUUAUACCUAGUCAAUGUCAUAUUUGAAGAAGAUUUACAAGUACUAUUUCUUAGCGAAUAGCACCCAGCACCUCAACUUCUAUUACAACAUCAUUUUUGGUUUAUUUUAUUUUAGCUGAUAAGCUUGUGUAUUCCAUUUAUCACCCAAUGAUACUGGAUGAACGUUUUCAUCUGAGUCUCUUGUAAUUUCAAAUUACAGUACAGUAAUGAAGCCAUGUUGGUUAUUUGAGCCUGUGUAGCUGCUACUUUUCUAUGGACCCCGAUACAAUUGCACCAUUUAAUUAUUGAUUAGAAAACACUAUUGUUGAAUUUACAAAUACACAAAAGUAUAUAUUGCAUAUUGAAAAAACAAAUCUGUACUUGUUG